rnacentral:rRNA from 1 species
UACGUAGGGGGCAAGCGUUGUCCGGAUUUAUUGGGCGUAAAGAGCGUGUAGGCGGCCAGUUAGGUCCGUUGUGAAAACUCGAGGCUCAACCUCGAGACGCCGAUGGAAACCAACUGGCUAGAGUCCGGAAGAGGAGAGUGGAAUUCCCGGUGUAGCGGUGAAAUGCGCAGAUAUCGGGAAGAACACCCGUGGCUAAGGCGGCUCUCUAGUACGGUACUGACGCUGAGACGCGAAAGCCAGGGGAGCGAACGGG